GACGAACGCUGGCGGCGUGCCUAACACAUGCAAGUCGAACGGAGAACUCAAUAAGCUUGCUUAAAGAGUUCUUAGUGGCGGACGGGUGAGUAACGCGUGGGUAACCUACCUAUAAGACCGGGACAACCCUUGGAAACGAGGGCUAAUACCGGAUACGCGUACGAGCUGGCAUCAGCUUUUAAGGAAAGAUGGCCUCGGAAUAUGCUAUCGCUUAUAUAUGGAUCCGUGUCUGAUUAGCUAGUUGGUUGGGUAAAGGCCUACAAAGUCGACGAUCAGUGGCCGGCCUGAGAGGGUGAACGGCCACACUGGGACUGAGAAACGGCCCAGACUCCUACGGGAGGCAGCAGUGGGGAAUCUUCCGCAAUGGACGAAAGUCUGACGGAGCAACGCCGCGUGUACGACGAAGGCCUUCGGGUUGUAAGUACUGUCUUCAGGGACGAACGGUAUCCCUGUGAAUAAUGGGGGUACAUGACGGUACCUGAGGAGGAAGCCCCGGCUAACUACGUGCCAGCCGCCGCGGUAAAAC
rnacentral:rRNA from 1 species